rnacentral:rRNA from 1 species
UACGUAGGGCGCAAGCGUUAUCCGGAAUUAUUGGGCGUAAAGAGCUCGUAGGCGGUUUGUCGCGUCUGCCGUGAAAGUCCGGGGCUCAACUCCGGAUCUGCGGUGGGUACGGGCAGACUAGAGUGAUGUAGGGGAGACUGGAAUUCCUGGUGUAGCGGUGAAAUGCGUAGAUAUCUGGAGGAACACCGGUGGCGAAGGCGGCAUUCUGGACCGACAUUGACGCUGAGGCGCGAAAGCUAGGGGAGCAAACGGG